UACAGAGGGCUCAAGCGUUGUUCGGAUUCAUUGGGCGUAAAGGGCGCGUAGGUGGCGCUGUAAGUCGGGUGUGAAAUUUCGGAGCUUAACUCCGAAACUGCAUUCGAUACUGCGGUGCUUGAGGACUGGAGAGGAGACUGGAAUUCAUGGUGUAGCAGUGAAAUGCGUAGAGAUCAUGAGGAAGACCAGUGGCGAAGGCGGGUCUCUGGACAGUUCCUGACACUGAGGCGCGAAGGCCAGGGGAGCAAACGGG
rnacentral:rRNA from 1 species